rnacentral:misc_RNA from 1 species
GAGUGGGUACUUCCAAUAACUGUGCAUGCACCUCCAGGAGGAGCUCCUGCAGCUCAGACAAGAAAUGACAGGUCAUUCUCUUUGGAACCCCUAUGGGUCCAUACAUAAAGUCUAUACACAUUCCGAAAAGUUAAAAUGCUUGGCUCCAUUACUGUUGAGAUAUCUCAUCGGCAACCCCUGGAGCUUGCCCACCCGCUUGUCCUCCAGGAUCUGAUUUCAGAAAGGAUGAAUAGUAACUGUGUUUCAGUAUUAUUGUAUUUU